rnacentral:miRNA from 1 species
UCCAGGGACUGCCUGCAUACU